rnacentral:rRNA from 1 species
UACAGAGGCCUCGAGCGUUAGGCGGAAUCACUGGGCUUAAAGCGUGUGUAGGCGGACUUCUAAGUACCUUGUGAAAUCCCACGGCUUACCCGUGGAACGGCUGGGUAUACUGGGAGUCUUGAGCCACCUAGGGGCGAGUGGAACAAAUGGUGGAGCGGUGAAAUGCGUAGAUAUCAGGAGGAACACCUGCGGUGUAGACGGCUUUCUGGACCAUUGCUGACGCUGAGACACGAAAGCGUGGGUAGCAAACAGG